UAGGGAAUCUUCCACAAUGGACGAAAGUCUGAUGGAGCAACGCCGCGUGAGUGAAGAAGGUUUUCGGAUCGUAAAGCUCUGUUGUUGGUGAAGAAGGAUAGGGGCAGUAACUGGUCUUUAUUUGACGGUAAUCAACCAGAAAGUCACGGCUAACUACGUGCCAC
rnacentral:rRNA from 1 species